rnacentral:tRNA from 1 species
AGAAGCUUAGUUAACAUAUAACAUAAACCUGUCACGUUUAAAUAGCACUACUUAAUGCAGCCUCUA